GGAAUCUUCCACAAUGGGCGAAAGCCUGAUGGAGCAACGCCGCGUGUGUGAUGAAGGGUUUCGGCUCGUAAACACUGUUGUAAGAGAAGAAUGACAUUGAGAGUAACUGUUCAAUGUGUGACGGUAUCUUACCAGAAAGGAACGGCUAAAUACGCGCCAG
rnacentral:rRNA from 1 species